rnacentral:rRNA from 1 species
AACGAACGCUGGCGGCAGGCCUAACACAUGCAAGUCGAGCGAGGACUUCGGUUCUAGCGGCGGACGGGUGAGUAACGCGUGGGAAUGUGCCCUUCUCUACGGAAUAGCCCUGGGAAACUGGGAGUAAUACCGUAUACGCCCUUUUGGGGAAAGAUUUAUCGGAGAAGGAUCAGCCCGCGUUGGAUUAGGUAGUUGGUGGGGUAAUGGCCUACCACGCCGACGUUCCAUAGCUGGUUUGUGGGGCUGAUCAGCCACACUGGGACUGAGACACGGCCCAGACUCCUACGGGAGGCAGCAGUGGGGAAUCUUAGACUAUGGGGGCAACCCUGAUCUAGCCAUGCCGCGUGAGUGAUGAAGGCCUUAGGGUUGUAAAGCUCUUUCAGCUGGGAAGAUAAUGACGGUACCAGCAGAAGAAGCCCCGGCUAACUCCGUG